UCAGGACCUGCCUAGAGCGGCUGACUGAGAAAUCCUCAGGAGGAUGUGACGAUGACUGAUGCCUUCAAGCUCCCACUGGGCACACACAGGCAAUUCCUCCAUGAAAAGAGAUGAAUUCACAAAGGAGAAAGUGUAUAAAAUAUUAAGAAGACAUUAAGCUGAGGACACGUGAACCCCUGGGCAGCGAAUGCAGGAGGCGGGGGCUGUGCCUCUGGACGCUGCAGCUGGGCUGGAGCCCUCUCCCUGCCACCAUGGAAACAGCAAUAUCAGAAAGCACAGUCCUGGUUAGCGGCGUGCUCGUGCCAUGUGCCUGUCAGUUCUGCAAGCAUUUAUUGGAUGUGAAGGUUGGUGUGAUGACCACGCUGCCCACAACAGGCAAAAGAGUGCAGACAGCUGAGGCUCCUCACUUCCCGCUCCAAAGCUCAGAACCUCCCUUCCCUCCUGGAUCCAACAGAAGCAGUGGCCACUGCUGCCUGUGCCUCUCAAACUUGUCACCCACGGAUGCUGGGAAAAAUGCACAUAAAAUGACUGGAUGGAGAUGACCCAGGAAGGGGCCCUGUUGCCCAGGAAAUGGGCUUGUCCUGAACCACAGCUUGAAGGAGAACCACCGACUGAUCAGGAAUACCCAACUGGACUUUAUUCCAGCAACAUACAAAGCAUUACUGUGCUGGGCCAUGGUAUAUUCUUGGGUUUCUUUUAUUAGAACACUUGGCAUUACCUUCACUAAUAUACACUCAUCAGAGUAGACAUUUUCACUAGUUAUAGAUGAUAUGCACUAUUUUCCCUUCUGAAACAGAAAUUUGCAGCAGCACUGCCAAAGGACAAUAGAUUUUUAAAAAUCAUAGAAUGACUGGAG